UACUACGAGACGUGUGCUACAUACGG
rnacentral:piRNA from 1 species